AACGCUAGCUACAGGCUUAACACAUGCAAGUCGAGGGGCAACAUGAACUUAGCUUGCUAAGUUUGAUGGCGACCGGCGCACGGGUGAGUAACACGUAUCCAACCUUCCGUUUACUCAGGGAUAGCCUUUCGAAAGAAAGAUUAAUACCUGAUAGUAUGGUGAGAUUGCAUGAUAACACCAUUAAAGAUUUAUUGGUAAACGAUGGGGAUGCGUUCCAUUAGGUAGUAGGCGGGGUAACGGCCCACCUAGCCGACGAUGGAUAGGGGUUCUGAGAGGAAGGUCCCCCACAUUGGAACUGAGACACGGUCCAAACUCCUACGGGAGGCAGCAGUGAGGAAUAUUGGUCAAUGGGCGAGAGCCUGAACCAGCCAAGUAGCGUGAAGGAUGAAGGUCUUACGGAUUGUAAACUUCUUUUAUACGGGAAUAAAGUAUCCUACGUGUAGGAUUCCGUAUGUACCGUAUGAAUAAGCAUCGGCUAACUCCGUGCCAGCAGCCGCGGUAAUACGGAGGAUGCGAGCGUUAUCCGGAUUUAUUGGGUUUAAAGGGAGCGCAGACGGGAGAUUAAGUCAGUUGUGAAAGUUUGCGGCUCAACCGUAAAAUUGCAGUUGAUACUGGUUUCCUUGAGUGCAGUUGAGGCAGGCGGAAUUCGUGGUGUAGCGGUGAAAUGCUUAGAUAUCACGAAGAACUCCGAUUG
rnacentral:rRNA from 1 species